rnacentral:rRNA from 1 species
UACGUAGGGUGCAAGCGUUGUCCGGAAUUAUUGGGCGUAAAGAGCUCGUAGGCGGUCUGUCGCGUCGGCUGUGAAAUCCCGAGGCUCAACCUCGGGUCUGCAGUCGAUACGGGCAAACUAGAGUAUUGCAGGGGAGACUGGAAUUCCUGGUGUAGCGGUGAAAUGCGCAGAUAUCAGGAGGAACACCGAUGGCGAAGGCAGGUCUCUGGGCCGCAACUGACGCUGAGGAGCGAAAGCAUGGGGAGCGAACAGG